CGGAGAGAUCGAAAAACCGCGAAGCUGUCUUCCAGUUGAUCCGGAUUGGUUAGAACAAAGCCUGAUAAGCUGUUCUGAUUGGAGGCUAUACAUAAACAAAAAAUAACGCGCGAAACUGCAGACCAAGCAGUCGACAGCAUGUCGAAAGAUCUAUAAGACGGAAGUCCGUACGGACAUGACGACACUGUGACGUCAUUUUAGCGACGAAACAAGCUUUCAACCUUUUGCUUAUGUCUUCGUGAAUGUAUGAAUUGUUUUGACAAAUUACUAGCUGUAUUAUACUCGGUAUGAAAAAUUGAGAUACUUUAGUCAUUCUAUAGUUACGAGGCUGCACCAUGUACAGACAAUCUCACAUGUGACUGGUGCUACUAUAAGGAAUACAACUGGAGAGACAUAUUAGUACAAUGGUAGACAGCAGAGAUGGGCACACAGUAGUGGAGUGUGCUGGGACUUGUUCGUCGCAGUCGGAGCUAACUAAUCGGAGCAUUGUCCAGCUUACAUCAUAUGGAGGCAGAUCUAUCUAUCGACUCACUACAGGGUCGAAAUGUCACCUUGGACCAAUCCGGAACACAAGCUUUAGAGUGGGAACCUCAAUGGAUGGAACUUCGUCACCAGUCAAGAAAAAUGAAGAGUAUUGCUUGGUUCUAAUACCAGUUGCAUGCAACCUCAUGACUCACCAUCACAUCAACCUUGCUGGCCCACAGACGAAGACUACCCAACCAAGUUGAUACCUGAUUCCAUGAUAUAUAUGCAGACAUGUACGACACAUGUAUAUAUCCUAUGGAAGGGGAGAGACUUUCAUAAGUCCAUACAUAGUGAGAGGCUAAAUAUCUGCUAGUGACCCAAGGAAGAUGGAGAAGAAGAAGAAGAAGAAGAAGAAGAAGAAGAAGAUUAACAAAAAGCAGAAGAAAAUGAAAAUGAAGAAGGAUACGCCGCUGACGACGAGAACGACAACGAAGAAGAAAAAGAAGAAGAAGAAAUAGACUAUGAUGACGAUGUGGGCAACGACCAAGAUGAUGACUUCUACAAUGAAGAGGAAGCAAAAGAGGAAUGUCUGAUCAUAGAUGGAAAAGGGAUAAUUGGUGCAGAGUGUUGAGUCAUGAGGCUGGGAUUGGAGCAAGAUUUAAACACCAUGCAUGCUUAUCAUUUCGACCAGCAAUACACAAACAAGGAACCAGGACGGAACCGGAACAAGGAACCGAGACAAGGAACAAGGAACCAGGAACCAGGACUUCAAACUCACUUCUGCUGAGAAGCUGCGUAACACUGCCACACCCAUGGAUCAGCACACACCGGCAAUGAGCCACCAAAUCGUGUAAAAGGACAUUUGUGCAGAUAUAGACACAUCAAGCUGACGAGAGGCGUGAGUGCAUGAAAUUGUAGAAGCCAGGACUGUUAUUGCAAUGAUGCACUACGUUAACGUGAAACUGUCUUGUUACCAUUUGCAUGUUGUUAAUCGAAUCCAGAGUAGUUUUUCAUUGAGUUCGUUUUUAGAAAUAGGUAGUUCAAUGUUCGAAGUAUUUGCAACUAGACAUUUAAAUGACAAAGAUAGGAAAUGUGUUGCUUGUGGCAGUGAUAGUGACAGCUAGUAGACGUUUCUAAUGUACCGUUUUUAUUUAAUUGUGAAUGCAAAUAUCUAUGACUGCUGAUUGAACAAUGAUGAUAAGCCAAUUUCGCAUUUUGACUGCACAUGCUCCUUAACUUAAUUUCACUCCCAAGUCCUAGCUUUCGGCCAUCAUAAAACAAAUAUACUUUCAGAAAAUUCAAACUUGGGCCGCAUAAAUGUGAUAAUUUACGCAUCAGUUUCAGUCCACUUGCUCAAAAAACUUAUCUGUGAUUUGGCCUCAAUAC